GUGGGGAAUAUUGGGCAAUGGGCGAAAGCCUGACCCAGCAACGCCGCGUGAAGGAAGAAGGUCUUCGGAUCGUAAACUUCUAUCCUUGGUGAAGAUAAUGACGGUAGCCGAGAAGGAAGCCCCGGCUAACUACGUGCCAGCAGCCGCGAUAAUACGUAGGGGGCAAGCGUUGUCCGGAAUGAUUGGGCGUAAAGGGCGCGUAGGCGGCCUGGUAAGUCUGGAGUGAAAGUCCUGCUUUUAAGGUGGGAAUUGCUUUGGAUACUGUCGGGCUUGAGUGCAGGAGAGGUAAGUGGAAUUCCCGGUGUAGCGGUGAAAUGCGUAGAGAUCGGGAGGAACACCAGUGGCGAAGGCGACUUACUGGACUGUAACUGACGCUGAGGCGCGAAAGUGUGGGGAGCAAACAGGAUUAGAAACCCGGGUAGUCC
rnacentral:rRNA from 1 species